rnacentral:rRNA from 1 species
GGUUUGAUUGGCGGCUCAGAUUGAACGCUGGCGGGAUGCUUUGUUACGGCUGAACGGGCACGUAGAUCACUGAGGGUGAUGGCGAACGGGUGAGUAAUGUAUCGGAACGUGCCUCUAGUAGCGGGGGAUAACUACGAAAGCGUAGCUAAUACCGCAUGCGCCCUUCGGGGAAAGCGGGGGACCUGGGCCGUACUAUUAGAGCGUAAUAUUUAUCGGGAUUAGCUAGUUGGUGGGGCAACGGCUCAUCAUGCGACGAUCCGUAGGCCGUUUGAGAGGACGACCAGCCACACUGGGACUGAGACACGGCCCAGACUCCUACGGGAGGCAGCAGUGGGGAAUUUUGGACAAUGGGGAAACCAUCCGCCAUCCCGCGUGUGCGAUGAAGGCCUUCGGGUUGUAAAAGCACUUUUGGCAGGAAGAAACGGCACGAUAAUACCCCGUGCAACUGACGGUACCUGCAGAAUAAGCACCGGCUAACUACGUACGCCAGCAGCCGCGGUAAUACGUAGGGGUGUUAAUCGGAAUUACUGGGCGCGCGCAGGCGGUCCGGAAAGAAAGAUGUGAACCAGAGCUUAACUUUCGAACUGCAUUUUUAACUACCGAGCUAGAGUGUGUCAGGAGGGAGGUGGAAUUCCGCGUGUAGCAGUGAAAGUGUAGAUAUGCGGAGGAACACCGAUGGCGAAGGCAGCUUCCUGGGAUAACACUGACGUCAUGCACGAAAGCGUGGGGAGCAAACAGGAUUAGAUACCCUGGUGGUCCACGCCUGCGUUCACGUCAACUAGUCGUUGGGGCCUUCUGGCCUGUAGCGCAGCUAACGCGGUGAAGUUGACCGCCUGGGGAGUACGGUCGCAAGAUUAAAACUCAAAGGAAUUGACGGGGACUGCACAAGCGGUGGAUGAUGUGGAUUAAUUCGACGCAACGCGAAAAACCUUACCUACCCCUGACAUGUCUGAAUCCUGAAGAGAUUUGGGAGGUCAAAGAGAACCCGGAACACAGGUGCUGCAUGGCUGUCGUCAGCUCGUGUCGUGAGAUGUUGGGUUAAGUCCUGCAACGAGCGCAACCCUUGUCAUUAGUUGCUACGAAAGGGCACUCUAUCGAGACUGCCGGUGACAAACCGAGGAAGGUGGGGAUGACGUCAAGUCCUCAUGGCCCCGCAUGGGUAGGGCUUCACACGCUAUACAAUGGUCGGGACAGAGGGUCGCCAACCCGCGAGGGGGAGCCAAUCCCAGAAACCCGAUCGUAGUCCGGAUCGCAGUCUGCAACUCGACUGCGUGAAGUCGGAAUCGCUAGUAACGCGGAUCAGUACAGUCGCGGUGAAUACGUUCCCGGGUCUUGUACACACCGCCCGUCACACCAUGGAGUGGGUUUACCAGAAGUAGUUAGCUCAACUGUAAUUAGCGGCGAUUACUACUGUAGGAUUCAUGACUGGGGUGAAGUCGUAACAAGGUAA